UUUAUAUGAUGACAAACUCUUCCAUUAAGAACGGCCAACUGAAUCUCUAUGUUGAUUUAAAAAAUUAUCAAGCUCAACAGUCUGACAA
rnacentral:snoRNA from 1 species